rnacentral:lncRNA from 1 species
GAAUUAACUAAAUAAAAGACAAUUAUUUUAUUAAAAAAUAUUUUAUCUGUAUAAGAAAAUUAGUUAGGCAUACUUAAAUCGAGAGCAAUAAAAUAAAUAAAAUCAACCACAAAAAAGUUCGAACGACAUUGCUGCUACUCUUUCUCUUCUGCUUCUUUUUUCUGCAUCUCGCUAGACAUACUUAAAUCGAGAGCAAUGAAGUAAAUAGAACCAACCAUGAAAAGGUUGGAACGACAUUGCUACUACUCUUUCUCUUCUGCUUCUUUUUUCUGCAUCUCUCGGCCUGUAUCUCAAUUAUGCAGCUUGCUUGUCUUUUUAUAAUACACAUGACAGCCUAUUAAGCUUAUAUUCUUCGUUGAUUUCUGAUUACAAUUUUGUAAGCCAAGCCACUGACUUUAAGUUGUAAAAGGCUCAAACCCUUUUUUUUUUUAAUUCUCUGUUUCCUCUUCUUCACGUGGCAAUAAUGGUAAGAGAUAAUGCUUUAAUUGGAAAAUAUUAAUCUCCGAAUCUUCAAUUCUGGAUCUUUUAUGCACCUUUGUUUUCCAAUCUUCAAUUAUUUCCCGGUUCAUAAAUAAUUUAAUUAAUUAAAAAUAACAGAUAAAAAUAGUUAAUAAAUAUAUCAUUAAUGGUAAAAUAUGUAUAUAUUAUAUGCUCUGUCAUCUACAAAUGUGAGAAAAAAAAUUUCUGAUUGGGAAAACAAAAUGAAAUAGAUACGGAGCUUAAAAGCUAAUAUAUAUAUAACGGAGAUUUGAGGAACCGAACCUGGCAAGAAGCCUCACGACACUCAAUUUUCGCCCAUGAAUGCAGCGAACAAUAGCAUCUAAGAGAAUAAGCCGGUGAGAGUUAUAUCUACUAGGUAUAUUUGAAAACUUCCAUUCCUAUGGGAUACCUACAGCAUGAUUUGAAUCAAAAGUCCCUUUAAUCCACAAAUAUCCUCUCA